rnacentral:snoRNA from 1 species
CUUCAGUGAUGAUCCGAUGACGAGUCAGAAAAGGGAUAUUCCUGCUAAGUGCACCCUUUACUGUGUCAUGUUCUGUGAUGCUGUGCUUGGGUUCCUUAGCAGGAUGGUCCUGUUCACUGGAUGAUUUAGAGGCAUUUGUCUGAGAAGG